AGAAAAAGAAAAACGCGAGAGAUAAACAGAAAAUAAAAGAAAAACGCAACAACGUUGUCCCCCUUAAUUCUGAUCAAUUCGAGAUUAAGGGUUUAAAGCCAUGGAAGAAACGUCGGGUUCAAGCGGUUCAGCAACAGUAAUCAACUCUUCCAAUAUAGGAUUUCAGCUAUUGAAGAAGCAAGGUUGGAAAGAAGGGACUGGUCUUGGAAUCUCUGAGCAGGGUAGAUUAGAACCUGUGGAAACUUAUGUGAAGAAUAAUAAACGAGGUUUGGGAGCAGAUAAAGUGAAGAAAAAGGCUGUGAAACCAGAUCAUUGUGAUGCCUCUAAAGGGAACAAUCAGCAGGAACAUUCGUUUCAAAAGAAAACCAAAGCACUUUCUAAACGGAUGAGAAAGAUGCAGGAGUUUGAAAAGAAGAUGCAGGAGAAGGAAUUUGAGCGUGCAUUCUUCAGGGAGUUUUGGCCAGAAAAUGUGUAAAUGAGAAUCGGGUGGUUGAUAUCAUUAUGUCACCAUUCCUCAUGCUUUCACUUUCAUAGUACUGAAGAUGAUUUCAGAACCCGCGCAAGUUGGUUCUUCAGGGUAUUUUCUCAAGGAUGCCAGGAGUUACGAAAGGCUUUUUGCAAACAGAAUGAAUUCAGAAUACCUUCUUAAUUCAUCAGGCUUAAUGAGCUGAACAGGAGCAGCAGGUAUUCUGAUCCACCAUUCUCUAAUUCGCCUUACCCAUCUAUCACUACUCUCUUUCCUCCAUGGCAUCUCCCUUGUAUAAUACUCAACGAAUACCGCCAAAAAUAUGUAUUUUGGAGGAACAAAAGCAAACACUGCGGCUGUGAAUACCAGAAACAGUGCAACCUUCUCCGUAGCCUGCAGGACAAAUGUAUAACAUAAGAAUAGAUUAUUGAGGAAACUAACUUUCCAAU